UAGGGUGCCUGCUUAUCAACCAUUCAAGAUUCAACGCCACCAAAUCUUCCCCCCCACCCGACCAAAACCCAAAAAGCUCUAUGAGCCUCCGACUUCUUCUCCAGAUUUACGCUCCAUGGAUUGUUUUCGCUGCCGAUUUCCAUUGGAUUCGCAUCGAUCGUAUCGAGAUCUACGCGUGGAUGGUGGUUUGAGAUUGUGAGGUGAUGGAUUGAGCUGCUUUUGAAUUCAGCUGGUUUCACCUGCGCGAGCUUCUGUGUUCGCCGAUCUUCGAUUCGGAUUCACAGAUUUCGCAGACGGAGCUCUAACCAAAUCAGAAGUAUUCGACAUCGUUUCAGCUGCUGAUCCGAUUCGAUCUCCUGGUGGCUGAAGAAUAUCUAUCAGAAGAUUCACAUGUAAUCUUGAUCGAGGGUCAUGAUUGUAAUUUCAUGAGUGUAGCCGGAAGAUUGUGGGGAUUUGGGUGGGAGUAUUGGUUGAAUUGGAUGGAUGUAUAAGAUAUCGGGACGAAAGGCUCGGUGUAAGGGCCGAGUCCUGGACCGAUCUUUGUCAUCCGACCUUUGCCAUGACAGGUGCGCUUGCAUGGCGGGUCAAAAACAUCUCAAUAAAAAAUAACGAAAUUUUGGUUUUGAGGGGAGACAGCAUGGGUUUUUUUUGCCCGGGGUCUCCCCUCCGGUGUGGUGUGCGCUCUCUGUCUUUGUCUUUUUGUUCCGUCUUUCAAUUUUGCUAGCCGCCAACCGCAAACAGUCGGACAUGGAUUCCGGACAACUACAAAUGCAUCGAUAUCUCGCCUCCAAAGGUAUUAUCUGACAGCCUAUUUCAAUUGAUUUGCACAGGGAACAUAUAAUCACGUGCACGAUUAAUUAGGUCUCAUGCUCACGUUUUCUUAAAUCGAUGUGGGAUUAAUCUAAUUUUUUGCACACACUAUGAAGCCUUCAAUCGAUAUAACCUAUAUUCUUGGAACUUAGGGAUUGGUAGAAAUGAACAAUAAUAAUUCUUCAGUUUGCUAAUUGUGGAGUUCUUCAAUCAACUCCUUUAUUUUGAAGGUAAAUUAAGUUAUUUAAUCUCCAUUUAUGUUGUAAAUUACAAUUUAUAAUAUUUUUUUUCCGAAACAAUAUAUAAUAUUUGAUCCAGAAAAAAAAAAGCACCUCUAUUAAUUUAAAGGUAAAUUAAGUUAUGUAAUCUCUAUGUAUUGUAGAAUACAAAUUACAACAUUUGAUCCAAACAAAAUAGAACUUUCUAAUUGAAAGAUCCAUCCAUGACCAAUAAUUACUGGGUAAUUUUGCAAUCUACUUAUGCCACACUCCACACAUUCUAUCAUACUACAUAACAAUUUCCGCUUCCAAAAUCUAUCCGGCUUCCUUUUUAAAGGCAUACCUAUGAUACCAUUAUGUACUGAUUAUUGCCUCGUUAUUAAUGUUUAUUGCCUCGUUAUUAUUGUACUUACAAAUUCUAUGAGCUGAGAGUGGGAUUGUACCCUGAAGUGCCUAUUUUGUUAUUGUUUGAUCUCAAUUGCUGUUACUGGAUAUUGUGAGAUCUGUUAAUGCAUGGCUCUUUGUAAUAUUAUGUAAUUAUGUUGCUUUGGCUGCCAUUGUUGCAAGCCAUGCCUUGUAUUCAAAUUAGAUGAUUCUAGGGAGGUUGGCUGCUGGAAGCUCUCUUCUCGAGGAGUCCUAAUAGCCAGAAUGAAGUCUCUCAUAUCAUUUACAAGUUAAUCGAAAUUCUACUCAAAUCAAGCUGCGUGGUCAUGGGGAAGAUGCAAAUUUCGUUACGUUGCGGUCUCUUUUCCCAUAACUUGAGGUGACCAAGGAAACGAGUUGAGCUUCACAAUCUUUGGUCUUUAAAGUUUUAAAUCUCAGCAAGUAAUAGUUUCAGUUAAUUUACCUUUUGUGAUUGAAUCCAUUGCGAGGAUUAUUUCAUGUGCCCAUUAGCAUUAUCAUUUAUUUAUUCUGUUCAAUUGUUAAGUUUAGAUAGAAUAUUCCCCCCUAAUUUUGAUUCUAUUGAAUUGUGGUACAUACAUAAUGGAUCAGAUUGUGGUGUGCGGAUUUGUUAGAUUUACACUUACUGAUUUUGAUUAUGUUUCAAACAGUAUUUCCGCGUAUCCGUUUUAUGUUUCUAUUAUUGUGCUUCUAUGAUGAUUACUUACGUAUGCUGUUUUGGUCAGUUCAUGAUAUCUUUCUUGUUAUGAUCCACGGGGUUUAACCCCAAAGAACAAAAAUUAGCUGGAAGCAUUUGUGUCACUGUAAAUUGUUUGUAAAAAUGAAACAGCGGCGUUUUGAAUUUGGACAAGUUGGAUGCUGUUUAGGGUUGCAUGAGAAAGUGUAGGUUGUUUUGUUCCUGGGCUGUGGAAUAAUUGUGCGACUGUUGCUCUGCUUAGGACAAUAUUUUUUUUAUGCCCGUGGAAAGGAUUUUUUAGAUCUCUAUUUGAGUUGACAAGUAAUUCACUCCAAGUUAAAUACUUUGUAGUUUACAAGUUUGGAGCAGGGUUUAGAGAUCGACUAGUGUCCCGCUCUAGUGGUUUUCAACUCCCGGUCUGGAGACAUUCAACUCAUAUGGAUGGCAAGUAUGUGUAAUAUUUACAGUGCUCUUAUUGUUGGCUAAUUGUGGGGCUUAGCUUAAUUCUCCUUCAUUCGAGUUAAAUUCUAUCCCCAUUCAAAUAGACAUCUCCCUUUUGCUAAACGUGAGUUGACAAGUUAUUGUUUGUGCUGGAAACUUCUUAUUGGAAAGAAGAAACUGAAAAACUAGGUGUUGAUGGUGUUUCUCAUUUUGCCUCGUCAAUUGAAACGAAGAUCUGUAAGCUCAAAAAUGGUAGAGCGCUCAGGGUCCUUGACAGGGCUUUUGAGAGGUUGGUGGUUCGAAUCCAUCCAGAUCUGCUCUGAGUUGACCGUUAGAUGGUUUGGUUACGUCGGGUGAGGGUUUAGGUUUGCCUUCUGUUACCUUUUUUCAGUCUGUUUUCUUGCUUUUGCAUUUUGAUGCAAAAUUAUAUUUACGCUAAAGGUUUGGGAAAAUAAUUGUUCGUUUGGAAGUGUUUUUAAAAUAGUUGAAGGGGUUUUGGUGAAAAUGUUUUUAUUACUAAUUCUUAAUAAAAAUGCAAGUGAAGAGUGCUUCGAUAUUUUUUCUAACCGCUUUACAUCUGUCUUUGUGUUGUUACAACGGUUUAGGCAGCUCAGGUAUCUUUCUUUAUAUGUAAGCAUGUCCGGUUUGGUACUAGAUUAUUUACUUUUUGAAUAUUGCCAGCCUUUUUGUGGCAAAUACAAUAUUCUAGAAGCAUGAUUAAGAAAAUUGGCGCGGGUGAAUCCUAAUUAUAGUACAAGACUAAUACGCACAUGUGCUGGAUUCCCACUCCACCAACUAAAGCGGCAAAUUAAUGUGUCCUGCUUGGUAACCGGUACCACCCUUCCCAUAUCAGCCUUCGAUUUCAAAGACAAAAAUUCAAUCCUAACCGUCCAUAGCAUCCCAUCUCUAGUAUAAAUUACGUUAGGCUGGGUGAAUCUAAAACCUUUCAACGGCUUCAAUGUCUCUCCCUCUCUCUGUCCACAACUCUAUUGGUCCUCCUGAGUCCUGAGUAGUUCUACUCCUGCAAAUCCAGUCUGCAUGGAUUGCUUUCUCUUUCGAUUUCUUUUGAAUUCUGGUAGAUUGAUUAGAGAUCUGUAUAUCGAUGCCGGUUUUAGAUUGUGAAGAUGUUUUGAGCUGCUGUUGAAUUGAAUAGCUAGUUAAAACCAGCUUGAUUUGUUCUUCUUCGAUGUUUGAUUCAGAUUUACAGUGUCUGAUUGCUCUGUGAUUGUUUAUCCAAUCAGAUAUGGCUAAGGAGCUGUUGUUGAAUUCAACGAGGCUUCAGGCGAGCUUGAUUCAAGCGUUGUUUCAGCCUCUGCAGAACUGACUCUCUGGUCGUUAAUGGUAGUUAAUGAUGCUGUAAGUGAUGUACAUUCGUAAAUCGAAGGGCGUGAUUGUAAUUUGAUGAGUGGGAAACUGAAGGCUGGGGGAUUUGGGGGUGGGGAUAGGUUAUGAAUCGGAUGUAUAAGAUUGUCGGGACCAAAGGUUCAGAGAAAGGGCUGAGUCCUGGACCGAUCUUUGUCAUCCGGCCUUUGCCAUGACAGGUGCGCUUGCAUGGCAGGUCAAAAAACAUAUCUCAAUCAAAAGUAACAAUUUUUCA